rnacentral:pre_miRNA from 1 species
GUCUCCUGGGGAUCUUGUUAAAAUGCAGAUUUAGAUCCAGUAGGCCUGGGAUUCUGCAUUUGUAAAAACCUCCCAAGUGAUGCCAA